AGGACCUCCACAACGCCGAGGUCUCCUUAAGCCAGGAGAGAGGACAUGAAGAAGAAGGCGGCACCUAAGGCACGGGUGGUACAGAGACAGAAGAGUACGUGGGCUUAAGAGGAGAUCACCCUCUAAGAAUCGCGGGACACCGGCGCAUGUGUGCCCCGGGUGCGAGGCGCCAGGACACGGCGCCGCUAUGGGACGGGCGGAAGGAUCUCAGAACGAGGGUAGCGGCGUCGGCGGCGCGCGCUCUGUGAUUGCACCGCGUGCUGCUGAGGUGAUCUCGGCUUAUUCCGCGUCAGCGGGGCGGGUGGAUGGGGCGCCGCCCCCUGCCUAGGCGAGCGAAGGCACCGCGUCUGAACCUGUUCGAGGUCCGCGUCGUGGCCAUUCGGAGAGACAGUUUCAAAUAUUCGCGAAAAGGGAGAUUGCGAAAGACGCCGUCUACCCACAGAAGGUUGGGACGCCGAGGUCAGUCCCAUCUCACCCCAAGUAAAACCAGUCUGACAGGCCGUCGUGACCUACUGGAGGCAACAUUUCCCAAGAACGCCCCUUAUUCUGACCGUUUAGGACCAGAAAGAUUUUGAAGCGGGAGUUCAGUCCUCCUGCUACAGUCAACCUGAUCUCAUCCACUCCCGUGGUUUCAAAGAAGCGUGUAUAUAAAAUGACUGCCAAAUUGAACCCUCCUGUUAGCUGACUGUCACGAGCCCCUGACCAGAUUCAUUUCUUUAUUCAGUCGACCUUAAGAGCUGGGUACUGUGCUAGGCAUUGAGGGUACAGAAGGGAAUGAGAACUGUGAGGCCCUCGGGGAAGGAGCAGUUAAUAGCCAAUUGCCUGUUCUGACACCUCUGCCUAGAGAGCUGAUGCUCAUGUCAUAGUUAAUGCAAAACUAAACUCAUAAAUCUCCGCCCACCUCGCUGCCAACCUUCUCCUCCUGUAAUGCCUCUGUAGGAAGGGCACCACUGUCCACCAAACUGCCCUUCUCCGCUGUGCCUCACAUGGAAUCAGUCACCGAGUCCUGUAAUUCCACCACCUUAAAUUUCUCCAUUCUUGCCACUGCCCUAGGUCAGGCCCUCAUCAUUGCUUGUCUGCAUUACUGCAGUAGUAUGCUACCUGGUCUCUGCUUCCGUGCUUGCCUUUGAUCUAUCCUCCACACGGCUGCCAUUUCUUCCAUCACUAAAACUGUGUUGCAGUCGUCUCCAGUCGGUUUCCUCUGCUACAAGAUGAACUUGAGAAUAGGGAUUGUGUCUUUUAAUCGUUUUUAUAUUCUGCAUUUAUUCUAAUACAUAGCAGUUCACAAAGUGUGGUUCAUGGCCUUCUGGGGAUCCCCAGAACUCCAGGGGGUGUAUGCAAAAUCAAAGCCCUUUAUAAUAAUACCAUUAUUUGCUUUUUUACUGCUGGAAUUUGCAGUGAUGGUGUCAAAUCAAUAGUAAAUAAAACUUCUGGGACCUUAGCACAAAUCAAUGGCAAGUGGCACCAAACUCUAGUAGUCAUUAUUCUUCACUGCCAUGCACUUGCAGUAGAAAAAAAUUGCCUGCUUCGCUUAAGAAGGUCCUUGAUGAAAUUGUAAGCAUUAAUUUUUUUAAAGGUCAGCCAUUGAGUACAUGUAUUUUAACUUGCUGCUUUUUUCACAGAAUGGCAUUUUUGCUUGAAAGAACAAGUGACAAACUUUGAUCCUUCAGAUUUGGAUAUUUGACAGAUGUUUUCUUUGAAAAUGAAGUCAGCCUCUCCUUUAAAAGAAAACCACUGGCAGUACUUGUUGUCAAUGAUAAAAUUAAAGCUUUCAAAUAAAAAUUAAGAAUUUUAGAAAACAUAUCUACCACUAUGAACUUGACAACUUACCAAUUCUUGAGACUUUUCUACAGAGAAAAUUUAGUAACAAGUGGAGUUUGUGUAAUAAAAUGUGUCAGCAUAUUGAAUCUUUGCAUAAUUAAGAGCCAGUAUAUUCAGAGGUACAAUGCGUGAUGUUACAAGAUCAUGAGUGAGUGAAACAUCCAUUCAAAGUACAACUUAGACCAAUAGAUUUUCAUAUAACAGAAUACAAAAAGUUCAUUGAUACAGUUUCAGACUCUACAUGCAACUAACUUUUAAGAUACUACCACUUGUGAAGAAUAUCUAUAAUUAUCUGAAAAAGUUACUAAAAUAUUCCUCCCUUUUCCAGCUCUACAGCUGUGUGAAGCCAGGUUAUUUUAAUGUACUUCAAUCAAAACAAUAUAGUUAGCACAGUAGAUUGAGAGCACAUGAGAAUUCAGCUGUCUUACAUUAAGCCAGGCAUUAAACAGAUUUGCAGAAAUCUAAAACAAUGCCACCUCUCUUUUGUUUUUGAAAAUAUAACUGUGUUCAUAAAAUGCAUUAACAUGGGAUUGUUAUUUUUAAUAAAUUAAUAAACAUUU